GAUGAACGCUAGCUACAGGCUUAACACAUGCAAGUCGCGGGGCAGCAUGUUACUGGCUUGCCAGUAAUGAUGGCGACCGGCGCACGGGUGAGUAUCGCGUAUCCAACUUUCCCAUAUCCACGGGAUAGCCUGCCGAAAGGCAGAUUAAUACCGUAUGUUGUCGCACGCUGGCAUCAGAAUGCGACGAAAGGCUUAGCGGAUAUGGAUGGGGAUGCGUCCGAUUAGCUUGACGGCGGGGUAACGGCCCACCGUGGCGGCGAUCGGUAGGGGUUCUGGAGAGGAAGGUCCCCCACAUUGGGAACUGAGACACGGUCCAAACUCCUACGGGAGGCAGCAGUGAGGAAUAUUGGUCAAUGGGCGGAAGCCUGAACCAGCCAAGUAGCGUGCAGGGAUGACGGCCCUAUGGGUUGUAAACUGCUUUUUA
rnacentral:rRNA from 1 species